AUUGAACGCUGGCGGCAUGCCUUACACACGCAAGUCGAACGAUGAACCCGGAGCUUGCUCCGGCGGAUUAGUGGCGAACGGGUGAGUAACACGUGAGUAACCUGCCCUUGACUCUGGGAUAACUGCUAGAAAUGGUAGCUAAUACCGGAUACGACCCUCGGUGGCAUCACCAGGAGGUGGAAAGAAUUUCGGUCAAGGAUGGACUCGCGGCCUAUCAGCUAGUUGGUGAGGUAACGGCUCACCAAGGCGACGACGGGUAGCCGGCCUGAGAGGGUGACCGGCCACACUGGGACUGAGACACGGCCCAGACUCGUACGGGAGGCAGCAGUGGGGAAUAUUGCACAAUGGGCGCAAGCCUGAUGCAGCAACGCCGCGUGAGGGAUGACGGCCUUCGGGUUGUAAACCUCUUUUAGUAGGGAAGAAGCGAAAGUGACGGUACCUGCAGAAAAAGCACCGGCUAACUACGUGCCAGCCGCCGCCGUAACAC
rnacentral:rRNA from 1 species